GGGCAAGUCUGGUGCCCGCAGCCGCGGUAAUUCCAGCUCCAAUAGCGUAUAUUAAAGUUGUUGCAGUUAAAAAGCUCGUAGUUGAAUUUCGAGAUCGGCUUACCGGUCGUGCUUUUGUACGUACUGGUAUAAUCGGUUUCUCCUUUCUGACGAACUUUAAUGCCAUUAAUUUGGUGUUUUAGGGAAUCAGGACUGUUACUUUGAAAAAAUUAGAGUGUUUAAAGCAGGCUCACGCUUGAAUACAUUGGCAUGGAAUAACGGAAUAGGACGUUUGAUUCUAUUUUGUUGGUUUCUAGGAUCGACGUAAUGAUUAAUAGGGAUAGUUGGGGGCAUUAGUAUUCAAUUGUCAGAGGUGAAAUUCUUGGAUUUAUUGAAGACUAACUACUGCGAAAGCAUUUGCCAAGGAUGUUUUCAUUAAUCAAGAACGAAAGUUAGGGGAUCGAAGACGAUCAGAUACCGUCGUAGUCUUAACCAUAAACUAUGCCGACUAGGGAUCGGAUGAUGUUAAUUUUUUAAUGACUCAUUCGGCGCCUUACGGGAAACA
rnacentral:rRNA from 1 species